rnacentral:rRNA from 1 species
UACGGAGGGUGCGAGCGUUGUCCGGAAUCACUGGGCGUAAAGGGCGCGUAGGCGGCAUGCCAAGCGUGUGGUGAAAGCCCGGGGCUCAACCCCGGGUCGGCCGUGCGGACUGGCGUCUCGAGCACUGUAGGGGCGGGUGGAAUUCCGGGUGGUAGCGGGUGGAAAUGCGGUAGAUAGUCAGGAGGAACACCGGCGGUGUAGACGGCUAUCUGGACAGUAACUGACGCUGAGACACGAAAGCGUGGGGAGCAAACAGG